AGGGAAUGGAGCACACUGUUGACUCUACUUUAGCAGCACAUAAAUAUUGGCAGGUUCCAAUCCUGUCUUGCCAAUAUUGCGUGUGCUGCUACAAUAUAGCUCGACGCUUGCAGCAAAUCGCAG
rnacentral:tRNA from 17 species